CCAAUUCUAAAUGGAGGGGUGGUCUCCUCUCUCAGGAAUUACAGGGAUCGAACUCGGGUCUUUGAGCUUGCAAGGCAAGCGGCAGAACCACUAAGCCAAAUCCCUGGCCCUACUACCAAUCUUUUUAAAGGAAGCAUUAUUGAAAGAUGUUUGUACGAAAAUAUUUGAAAUGAAAAACUCUGGCCAAGCAAAACAGAUAAAACAAAUUAGAAUUGAAGAAAUUUUGGAGAUAGAAACUAACAACUCGUAGCUUUCAUUUUUGACUGACAACUAUGUAAAAACACUACACUGGACCUUUUGACUACAUCAUCCUACAUCUACACAAUUUCAAGAUCCAAUUCCAAAUUAGAGUCUUGUGGGAAAGUGAGAGAUUGUAAGAAGGCC
ensembl:lncRNA